ACAUGCAGUCGACGGUGAAGCCCCGCUUGCGGGGUGGAUCAGUGGCGAACGGGUGAGUAACACGUGAGCAACCUGCCCCGGACUCUGGGAUAAGCGCUGGAAACGGCGUCUAAUACUGGAUACGAGCCGUGAAGGCAUCUUCAACGGUUGGAAAGAUUUUUCGGUCUGGGAUGGGCUCGCGGCCUAUCAGCUUGUUGGUGAGGUAAUGGCUCACCAAGGCGUCGACGGGUAGCCGGCCUGAGAGGGUGACCGGCCACACUGGGACUGAGACACGGCCCAGACUCCUACGGGAGGCAGCAGUGGGGAAUAUUGCACAAUGGGCGGAAGCCUGAUGCAGCAACGCCGCGUGAGGGAUGACGGCCUUCGGGUUGUAAACCUCUUUUAGCAAGGAAGAAGCGAAAGUGACGGUACUUGCAGAAAAAGCGCCGGCUAACUACGUGCCAGCAGCCGCGGUAAUACGUAGGGCGCAAGCGUUAUCCGGAAUUAUUGGGCGUAAAGAGCUCGUAGGCGGUCUGUCGCGUCUGCUGUGAAAACCCGAGGCUCAACUCGGGCCUGCAGUGGGUACGGGCAGACUAGAGUGCGGUAGGGGAGAUUGGAAUUCCUGGUGUAGCGGUGGAAUGCGCAGAUAUCAGGAGGAACACCGAUGGCGAAGGCAGAU
rnacentral:rRNA from 1 species